rnacentral:lncRNA from 1 species
AUAGAAAGGUAGAUGAGGAGAGUAGAAGAUCUCUUUCCUCACAUGGUACUCAGAGAAGUUAUCAUAACAGAGGUAGGAUGUAAGCUUUCCUUGAAAGAUGGAUUUGGUGUCAACAAGUAAGAGGUGAAAGGAAAGCCUUGCUGGCAGAGAACCACAUGGCAAAAGCUAGAUUCCAACUAAUACAGGCACACAUGAGGGACCAGCUCACAGACAAAUGAGGUCGCAGAGUAGGAGCUCCUGCCACAAAGAGGCAGAUUCUAGAACACACUGAAAGCCACAGGAUGCAUAGUGACUUUGCUUCAGUGCUCGGUGAGCAUCCUGUGAGCAAGGACCACAGAUGGAGAGACAGCCUCACAGUGCUCCUAUACAACCUGGGCAUGUUUGGGACAGAACUACAGGGGUGAGAGUGUGAGUAGAGGAAGGAGGAAGGAAGAACAUUUGAGAAGAAUCGAUGCAGCAUGGAGAUACUGCUGGAAAACAGAUGGACGAAAGAGAGCGUAGUGAGAAAUGAAUCCAUUACUUGCAAUGCUGUCACUGAGAGAAAAGACAAAUCUGGAGGGAGAGUGCAGGCACUAGGAAAAUGAUAAGGCUGUUUAGUUCAUUUUUUAUUUAUUUUAUUUUAUUUUAUUUAUUUUUUGCUUUUUAGGGCUACACCCUUGGCAUGUGGAGGUUCCCAGGCUAGGGGUUGAAUGAGAGCUACAGCUGCCAGCCUAUGCCACAGCCACCAAAAAAAAAAAAAAAAAAAAAAAAAAAAGACACAGGAUCCAAGCCACAUCUGCAACUUAUACCACAGCUCACAGCAACACCAGAUCCCUGGCCCGCUGAGUGAGACCAGGGAUUGAACCCACAUCCUCAUGGAUACUAGUCGGAUUCGUUUCCACUGCGCCACAAAGGGAACCCCCCCUUGCUCAUUUUUUUAAAUGUUCAUUUUUCAAAGUACAAAGUGCUGAACUUAAGGUAACAGAGGGUCAAGAAAAAAAAAAAAGCCUAUUGGAGGUUGUGAGUUUGGAUCUAGGUUAGAAGUAGGAGGAGGAGGAUAUCAGAGCUGGAUAUAGCAGUUCUUAAGGGAUUUCUGUCAGUGUGCUUGUUAUCACAGCCUCAGGACCAAUUACAUAGUGCUGUAUAGGUAUCUUUCUUGCUAGAAAAACAGCUCUAAUUGAGGACGUAUCCCCCCUUACAUCUGCUACCACAUUCUUCCCCCUGUCCACAAGAUCUUUGUCUAAAUUAGUUGGAAGGGCUGUAUUCCCAAAUCAAUGCAGCGUAAUGCAACAGUUUGAAUUAAGGUACAAGUGCAACAUUUAAAAGAUAAAAUUGUGAAUGGUUUUUAGGGAAAAAAAUUAGCAACUGACAUAUGACUUUGAUGGACAUAACUGAGACUGAACACCCAGCUGCUCUUAACGACAGCCCACUUACACCCAGUUACACCCAGUUAGCCCAUGAAGAAAAGUGGCCGUGUGCCCUUUCCAGAGCAGAAUGGCAUCAGAGACAAAGACCUGGUUUCUGCCAAUGUUAUUGCACCUUCCAAGCCCUCUUGGAAAGAAUGUGGCUCUUCUCCUCAGUGGAGGGGGUGGCUUGAUGUCUUGGGGUCCCCCAGCCCCAGAGUGUCCCCACCCUCUAUUCCCACAGUCAGUGAGCUCAGUAUCCUGCCUGAGUACUGGAAAAUUACUUCCUUCAUUCCCUUUUAGUCUGAGGAGGUCAGGAAAAAAAUGUCAAAAUGCUUAUUUCCACCUUUAGAUUUAGAAAGUACUAAAUCAGUUUAAUGCUGAUUUCCUCCUAAAAAGCAGACAGGUGAAUUAGAGAGAUGGAUGAAAAAUAGUUAUGAGUCACUCACUUAUCCUUUCCAGAGAUUUUUAUCAUGAGCCUGCGACAUGCCUUUUAAGAACUUAAACUUUUGUUGACUCCAUUUAGCUGGCAAUCUGGAAAAUGCCAGUGAUAAGUAGUAUCCCUUGAGGAGCUCAGCGUAUUUUCUUCUCCCUUCCUUGAUAAUUCCAGAAAUACCAUGGAAGGUGUAAUAAUAUCGACAAUAAUGAGUGUGCCUUGGGAAAUUGCUAAACUUUAGGAUUCACAAGAAAGCACAUCUUGUCUCAAAGUAAGUUCUUGCAGCCUCUGCUCUGCAGAAGCUCAGGGAAUCUCAAAAUGUAACCAUUUCUCUGGCCAGCUGAGGGCGGAAUUGCUCUGCUUUUGUGAAUACAAGCCACCUGAUGACUUUGGAAAAGAGCCACCAGUUCAUCUGCAGACUGGCUCUUGGAUAAGAGGGGGCUGAGAGGCAGGGGAGAGUAGACUGGAAAAUCUAAAUGCUGUAACACAGAGCAGCCGCAGUUUUGAGUAGUAUGAAAAAACUGACAUUUCAUGCAUAAAACUCAAAAACUUUUGUUUUUUUGCUUUACAGAACAAACAGGGAGGCUUUUCAAUUUCAUCAGCGUUUGUGGGUAGGGUUAAUAAACAUUCAUUUUCUGUAAUUUUUAAUAUCUACCAAAUGUCCACAAAUGUGUAUCAAUUUUAAAAACAAAACAAACCUAGAAGGGUGACUUCAAGUUUCUCAGCCUAGUGAUACCUUGAUGGGAGCUGGUUUGUAAUUAAUUCCUCACCUUAGCUUAGGUACAAAACAAUUUGAAAGAAAAAUUAGUGUUUUCUAGGAGUACAUCUUUUUUCUCACUUUGAAUGCAUGCCAUGACCAUUCACAAGUCAUUAAUAUAAAGCUAAGAUAGCAACACUCCAGAUCUCGCCAAAUAACUUCAUAAUAUGAAACAUCUAAAAUAUUCAUUUGCCAGGCUCCUUCCCUAGGAGAGGCGAAGGUUAUCUGCUGAAUGUCAAUAUUUACCUCGUGCAUACUUAACUUCUUCCAUUCUCAGUCCGGACCACAGUCUGGAGCAACUUAGGCUUGAUAAAAAUCACCUCUGCUAGGGCAAACUACGUGUUUCUGCAGAGUGCAGAUGGCUCUUGAUUCUUCUCUUUCAAUACUUUUUGGAAGCCAAUGACAUAUCUGUUGAGUCAUGAUAUAUGCAUAUAUGUAACUGAGUCAUAGUCUUUCCUCCAGGAGGUUUAUCUGUUUAAUUAAUCCACUUUGCAACCUUCCCAACAAGUCCUUUCACUAAGGUAGUCACGGACCUUAAGGCCCUCUCUUUAUUUGGGAAAGCAACACUGAAGUUCCAGUAAGUCUCAAGGUUCAGGAGGGGUAAAGGUGCAUUUGGAGACCAAUUCAUCAAAAUCAUAGAUGUGAGACUAGAAAGGAAAUUAUAGACAGUUCGAUUUAUACUCUAUUGCCAGGCUAAUCUUGUUAAAGCAUAGAUCGAUUCCUCUCACUUCCCUUCUCAUUAUGCAUAACAUAAACCCAUUCUCUUUGGCCUAAAGCUGACAGCCCUCCUCGAAAUGGCACCAGCCAGCACUUCCAACCGUCUCCAUAUCCUUCCAUUUUCAUAUCCCUCCAUGCCUGAGUAGGUCCCUCACUCUAGAAUUCAACUGGAGUGAGGAGUGUCCAGGCUUAGCAAAAAGCAGUUCAUCUCCCCAACUCCAGAUAAAGUCUAUCUGCAUCUUUGCUGACCCAACUAAAUACAGCUUUUGCAGUCAAGUUUCCCCUAAUAUCCUCCGGAAGCAUUCUACUCUUUAGCAAUCUGCAUCACAUCUAGCCUCCCUUAUGAUACUUAAUUUUUUCCACUUAAAAUAUAGAUCUGUAUGGACAUUGUUCUACCAGGCAUAUGCUGAUUGAAAGUAGACUCCAUAUCUGAUGCAUCUUCCUAUCCUCGAAGAUAUUUAUUGUAAUGCCCACACUCAUAGGCACUUAAUAAAUAUUUACUGAAUGAAUUAACAAAUGAAUUAAUUCACAGUCUCUACUAAACCAAAGUUACUUCCUAAAGAGAUGUAUGAUAAACCUAACGGUGUUCAAGUAAUUCCAUUCUAUACAAAAUUAACUGCAAGGCAACCAGCUAAAUGCAGAGGAGUUAACACCUUGAGAAGAGAAGUUGCUUGAACCAAUGGGUAAUUGUGCUUGCAUGUCUCUUUUGAAAGGAGAGGGUUCAAAAUGUGAGAAAAAGCCUGAGAAAUAACUUUAUUAGAAAUCUUCAACCAUUUCAAGAACAUUACGGAGAACUUUAUGAAAUAUUAUGUGGAGCCCAGGAAUCCUAACAAUACUUCAGGUCUCAAUCAUGGAAGCAGCAAGAGAGAUCUCCUUGAAAACUAUCUUUCUCCUUUUGCCUUUUGCUUGAUAUUAAUAGUAAGGCACAGAUGGAGAACUCCAGGGAAGCAAAAUAAAGCCCCAAUAACAUUUAGGUCACAUAUAUAUGGGUGUAUGUAUAUCAUUAGUACUAAUUACAUACAAUAUAUAUUGAUGUUAAAUAUUUAUAAUGGGGACAAAAUGUUCAGUUCUGCAGUAGGAUUUGAGAUUCAAAACACUCAACCUUCAAAAGAACAAAUCUUAAGUUACCAAUGAACUGAGUUUUGAAGUUUUUCCUCUUUAGUACUUUAAGAUAAAUUGAAUAAUUAUUUUCAUUCACCCUCUGUCCUAUUAGCAAAAUAAUUUUAUGAAUUUCUUUACAACCUUUGAAAUAGUGGCAUAUUUAAGCCCCUAAAAGCAAAUACUCCAUCCUGUUCUUUCUGUAGUUAUUCUGGACACUGUCAUGGAUAGAAGAAAUGUGCAAGAUAAGGCCUCAGACAGCCUCAAUUACAUGGAAACACAAUUUUACCAAGGAAACAAAUUAGUACACAUUUUUAAUAAACAAACAAACAAACAAACAAACACAGGUCAAUGUGUGUUCAGGAAAAGAAGAGUUAGUGAUGAGGUCAAAGUUUUCAAGAAAAUUGGGUGGGACUCUACCUGAGUUAAGAUGGAUCUGAGUAGGUGAAACUGUGUAAAAAAUAAAACAAAACAAAACAAAACGUAAAGCAUGGGCAGCAAAACAAGGACAGAACUGAAAUGGCAUGUUUACUGGAUGGUAAGGAAACUGAAUUGACAUAUAAGCAUUUACUGAGUAUUUACAAUGUGGCAGGAAUUUAUUGUACUUAAAUCUUCCCAGUGAACAGGUUGUAUUAGGGUUAGUGGUGUCCAAAAUGUAGUGUCACCUAGACAGCAGUAUCUGCAAGACCUGGAAACUUGUUACAAAUGCAAAUUCUCAGGUCCCACCCCAGAACUACUUAAUCAGAAGUAGGAUUGGGACAUAGGAAUCAACAUUUUAACACGCCUUCUGGGUAAUUCUGAUGCUCCCAAAAGUUUGAGAACUGCUGUACUGGAGGAAAGAAACAAUCCUGACCAGGUGUUUAAGACCUAGAAUUCCAAGCUGUGGAACUGCAUCAGAUGGAUUCAAAACAGGAAAUCACAGAUAGAUUUUGUAAGACUGGUGGCAUCCAGAAAGUGGUGUUAAUUUUGUUCAGGUCACUCAGGAAGCUGUAUUAGCAGAGGCUAAGAGUUGGAAAAGAAUUAUUAUUGGAAUGUCUGAAAUCUCUAUAAAAGUUCCCUUAAGACUUACACCUUCUGGAAAACAGAGGACAAGUUUAAUGAAACAACAUCAUCUUUUAAAAAAAAUAAGUCACUCUUCUUAAAGAAGGUAUGAUAAGAUGUCUAUCUAAUUUCUGCUGACUCUGGGUUCUCUCUGCCUUCUCUAGAGCCGAAUUCAGCAGAGUCAAGAAGAACUCUGCACUUUACCUGAAACUAUUGGGUAGAACUCCUCCAUCAUCUUUUUUAAUGUUCUUGAUUUUUUUACAUCAACUUCAGCUAUUAAGAUGAGGAGAAAGGACUUAUGUAAUAGAGAAGAACAAAUCUGACUCCCUAUUAGGUCUGUUUCUUUUACUUUAACCUUUGCAUUCUAUUGCUUUUGCUACAAGUUAAUCACUAAAAUGAUGCUGCCUAUAGCUUUAAAUAUACAUAAUGGCCCAUCUUUGGAAACCUUGUCUCUCAUGCUUGAAGGUUAAAUUAAAAUACCUUUGUUCAGCUCAUAGGAAACAUCCCGGCCCAGCCCACCUAUGAAUGGCUGUAGGAAAGAAGAAAUUAACAUAUCGCCUCCAGAGUCUGGCCAAAACCAGGAAAUAUUUGCAACAACUUAUAGCCUUUUAAAAUUUACCUUCCCCCUUUUUGUUCUUUAAAAGCAACUAGCAACCAUUCCCUGGCAAGAUGGUUCUUUAGGACAUUAGUCCACCAUUUCCCCCAUCUGCCAUCUUUCCCAAU